rnacentral:rRNA from 1 species
GCCGAGAUGGCUUAGUGCCUUCGGGAACCGUGAGACAGGUGCUGCAUGGCUGUCGUCAGCUCGUGUUGUGAAAUGUUGGGUUAAGUCCCGCAACGAGCGCAACCCUUAUCCUUUGUUGCCAGCACGUAAUGGUGGGAACUCAAAGGAGACUGCCGGUGAUAAACCGGAGGAAGGUGGGGAUGACGUCAAGUCCUCAUGGCCCUUAUGGGUAGGGCUUCACACGUCAUACAAUGGCCGGUACAGAGGGUUGCCAAAGCGCGAGCUGGAGCCAAUCCCCAUAAAAGCCGGUCGUAGUCCGGAUUGCAGUCUGCAACUCGACUGCAUGAAGUCGGAAUCGCUAGUAAUCGCGGAUCAGCAUGUCGCGGUGAAUACGUUCCCGGGUCUUGUACACACCGCCCGUCACACCAUGGGAGUGGGUUCUACCAGAAGUAGGUAGGCUAACCGCAAGGGGGCCGCUUACCACGGUAGGAUUCAUGACUGGGGUGAAGUCGUAACAAGGUAACCGU